ACUGAAGAAAGUGCCUUGGACCUGUACAAGAAGGGAUGGAGAAUUGAAACCUCCUUUUUAUAAAGCAUGUAAUCUUUGAAGGGUUACAUCUUCCGUUAACGGGUAGAAUAGAAAAAAAUCCAAUCAGCAAAGGCAGAUGGCAAGGAAAUUUGUCUUGGCAAAAGCUUCUCUUGAGGAAUUUGCCUUCACUUUAGGCUUUUGUUCUUCCCAUGGAUAAAAUCUUCUAAAACAUGAGUUCACAACCUCCAAAUCAUAGAAAUAUACAACGAAUAUGUAACCAUAAGCCGAAGUCAGCAGAAACAAUAAGCAGUUGGUAUGGUUAGGUUUUGUGUCCCCACCCAAAUCUCAUUUUGAAUUGUAAUCUCCAUGAUCCCCAUGUGUGAAAGGAGAGACCAGGUAGAGGUAGUUGAAUCAUGGGGGGUGAGGGGGUUUCCCCCAUGCUGUUCUUGUGGUAGUGAGUUCUCACGAGAUCUGAUGGUUUUAUAAGGGGCUCUUUCCCCUUCGCUCAGCGCUUAUCCUUCCUGAUGCCUUGUGAAGAAGGGGCCUUGCUUCCUUUUCACCUUCUGCCUUGAUUGUAAGUUUCCCAAGACCUUCCCAGCCAUGGUGAACUGCGAGUCAGUUAAACCUCUUCUUUUAUAAAUUACACAGUCUUGGGCAGUUUUUUAAUAGUAGUCUGAAAAUGGACUAAUACAGCAGUUCAGUUAGUUCUCAAUAUCUUUAGAAAUGAGAUUACUGAUUGCAGAAUAUCAAAUGGCUAUGUUUUAAACAUUUAAGAAAUAGAACCUGCAUAAAAACAUAGUAAAGUUAGUAAAAGAUUAAGAUGCUGCCAGAAAAGGCUGGGCAGACUUGAGAAAGAACAAGUAGACCUCUAAAAAUGAAAAUUUUAAUUAUUUAAAAAGUUCUGUAAGUUUAAGGUGUAAAGUGCAGUUUGUUACAUAUUACGUAGUGGUGCAGAGUCUGGUCUUUUAGCGUAGCGAUCACCCAAAUAAUGUACAUCGUACCUAUUAAUUUCUCACCCCUCACCUGCCUCCCACCUUUCCAAGUCUCUAGUUUCUAUUAUUCCACACUUCAUGUCCAUGUGUGCACAUUAUCUAUCUUCCAGUUAUAAGUGAAAACAUGAGUAUUUGGCUUUCUUGUUUCAUUUGAGAUAACCACCUCUAAUUCUAUCCAUGUUGCUGCAAUAGACAUGAUUUUAUUCUUUUUUUUUUUUAAUGGGUUAAUGGAUUAUCAUGAGAGUGGGGCUGGUGGCUGUGUAAGAAGAGAGACCUGAGCUAGCACAGUCAGCCCCCUGCUCAUGUGAUCCGCAGCAGCACCUCGUGACCCUGCAGAAAGUCCUCACCAGUUGUGGCCCCUUGAUCUUGAACUUCUUAGCCUCUAUAACUUUAAGAAACAAAUUUCUUUUCUUUGUAAAUUGCCCAGUUUUAGGUAUUCUGUUAUAUGCAACAGGAAAUAGAUUAAAACACAUAUUUUGAGUUCAGAAUUUCUGUAUUGGCAUUUUCCUCCUCUCUGUUGCCUCUUAGCAUUUUUUCCCACACCUCAGGACUCAAAACCAAGGGAAUAGUCCUGCACACAGUUGUUUUUGAAUAAACACAGCAAUUGAUCCUUCUGGUCCUAUAGCUUGAAACUUAACAUUUGUUUUGUCUGAGUUCCUUAAAGAAAGUCCUCUGGAAAGGACUUUCAGGCCUCCUAGGAAAGUAUCAAAAGAAUCAAAAAGUACGCAAAGGACAUGAAUAGGCCUUUCUCAAAAGAAGAUAUGCAAAUGACCAGUAAACAUAUGAAAAAACGCUCAUCAUCACUAAUGAUCAGGGAAAUGCAAAUCAAAACCUCAAUGC